rnacentral:siRNA from 1 species
GGGGUUGACCUAGUGGUAAAUC